CUAGCGCGCUGGCUGCAGCUGAUUUGCAAACAUCAGGUUUAGGCGACGUCACCGUUUGUGCCGAAACUUGAGUGUAACGUGCAAGUCUUGAUUGCAAACUUGACAUGGGACACUUUUGUUUUCUUCUCAUUCUGAACCUGAACCACAAGGCAGACACCCUCCAGCCAGACAUGGUCACAUCAUUGUAAUGGUGGAUUCAAAGAUCUACAUUCAUUCACUUUGGAGCAUGAAGUGGGAGAAAGUGCAAGCCAAAGGAGAUAUUCCACCAGGAGUAGCUGCGCACUCAGCUGUUGUGCUGGGCAAGAAUAUUUACAUGUUUGGAGGGAUGACAGCAGAUGGAGCAAGCAACUCCAUGUACAGAUUUAACACUGGGUGUGAUGAUGGGAAUCCAGAGGAGGAGCGAGCCAAUGGACCAGCACCCCCUGAGGCAAUAAACCUGUUAUUUGUAUUUGGAGGCAUGAAUACUCUGGGUACCAUAUAUAAUGGAUUUUGUAAAGGAAAAAAAAAAAGAUGUAGGAAUAAAAUAUUUUACAUUAUAAUUACGUUUAAAGCUUCUACCAUUACAUGCUGAAAGAAAAAAAAAAGUUUGAAAUUCAGGUACAAAAUUGAAAUUUCAUAUACUGAAAGGUCAAGAUUUCAGAGGGUUGACUUCACCAAUGUGGACCCUGAAACUAUAAAUUAAAACAGGACAGAAAACAGUUUGUAUCAAACAUUUAUUUCAAUGUCUUUCCAGAAGUACAAUAGCCAGAUUCAAUAAAUAAACUUUAGCACUGCCUGUGAACAUGAAGAGCCCUUCAUCCCACAGACACCAUUUUCAGUGUACC